AUGCCUUAAAAUUAUAAGUAAGGAAAAUAAUGAUUCGGGGUGACGCCCGAGUCCUCACUGCUUAUGUGAGAAGAAUUUUUGAGCGGGUAUAGGUUGCAAUCUGAGGCGACCCACCUACUUUGCGGGAUGCCUGGGUAACGCGAUCUGCCAG
ensembl:snRNA Gm24525 predicted gene, 24525